AUAGGUCUGCGGUGUUCGUGGUAUGGAGAAUUCGUAAUCCACAAAGUAAAAAAGGGAGCUGCCGUCCGCGGGAAUAGUUAAGGUCUGUAUUUUUUUUACGGAAAGAGCGAUUUCCCGAGGCGUGGCACCCACCUGCGAGAAAGCGGGUUAACACUUUUUCAUAUCACGGCACAGGCGGAUUUUUU
rnacentral:other from 1 species